rnacentral:rRNA from 1 species
AGCCCAACGAGAUCGGGAUAACACCUGGAAACAAGAUGCUAAUACCGGAUAACAACAGAUGAUGCCUAUCAACUGUUUAAAAGAUGGUUCUGCUAUCACUCUUGGAUGGACCUGCGGUGCAUUAGCUAGUUGGUAGGGUAACGGCCUACCAAGGCGAUGAUGCAUAGCCGAGUUGAGAGACUGAUCGGCCACAUUGGGACUGAGACACGGCCCAAACUCCUACGGGAGGCAGCAGC